rnacentral:rRNA from 1 species
GCUUUCCCUCCAGAGUGGAUCCUGAGUACGGCGGAACACGUGAAAUUCCGUCGGAAUCCGGGAGGACCAUCUCCCAAGGCUAAAUACUCCCUAGUGACCGAUAGUGAACCAGUACCGUGAGGGAAAGGUGAAAAGCACCCCGGAAGGGGAGUGAAACAGUUCCUGAAACCGUGUGCCUACAAGUAGUUAGAGCCCGUUAAUGGGUGAUAGCGUGCCUUUUGUAGAAUGAACCGGCGAGUUACGAUUUGUUGCAAGGUUAAGCGGAAAAAGCGGAGCCGUAGCGAAAGCGAGUCUGAAUAGGGCGCAUAAGUAACAGGUCGUAGACCCGAAACCAGGUGAUCUACCCAUGUCCAGGAUGAAGGUAAGGUAAUACUUACUGGAGGUCCGAACCCACGCACGUUGAAAAGUGCGGGGAUGAGGUGUGGGUAGCGGAGAAAUUCCAAUCGAACUUGGAGAUAGCUGGUUCUCUCCGAAAUAGCUUUAGGGCUAGCCUCGAGGUAAAGAGUCAUGGAGGUAGAGCACUGUUUGGACUAGGGGCCCUUCUCGGGUUACCGAAUUCAGAUAAACUCCGAAUGCCAUGUACUUAUACUCGGGAGUCAGACUGCGAGUGAUAAGAUCCGUAGUCGAAAGGGAAACAGCCCAGACCACCAGUUAAGGUCCCCAAAUAUAUGUUAAGUGGAAAAGGAUGUGGGGUUGCUUAGACAACCAGGAUGUUGGCUUAGAAGCAGCCACCAUUGAAAGAGUGCGUAAUAGCUCACUGGUCGAGUGACCCCGCGCCGAAAAUGUACCGGGGCUAAACAUAUUACCGAAACUGUGGAUGAACCUCUUUAGAGGUUCGUGGUAGGAGAGCGUUCUAAGGGCGGUGAAGUCAGACCGGAAGGACUGGUGGAGCGCUUAGAAGUGAGAAUGCCGGUAUGAGUAGCGAAAGAAGGGUGAGAAUCCCUUCCACCGAAUAUCUAAGGUUUCCUGAGGAAGGCUCGUCCGCUC